UACGGAGGGUGCAAGCGUUGUUCGGAAUCACUGGGCGUAAAGCGCGUGUAGGCGGUUUCUUAAGUCUGGUGUGAAAGCCCGGGGCUCACCCCCGGAAGGGCACUGGAGACUGGGAGACUUGAGUACCGGAGAGGAAGGUGGAAUUCCUGGUGUAGCGGUGAAAUGCGUAGAUAUCAGGAGGAACACCGGUGGCGAAGGCGGCCUUCUGGACGGCUACUGACGCUGAGACGCGAAAGCGUGGGGAGCAAAC
rnacentral:rRNA from 1 species